rnacentral:rRNA from 1 species
GUAGGUGGCAAGCGUUGUCCGGAAUUAUUGGGCGUAAAGCGCGCGCAGGUGGUUCGUUUAAGUCUGAUGUGAAAGCCCCCCGGGCUCAACCGGGGAGGGUCAUUGGAAACUGGGGAACUUGAGUGCAGGAGAGGAAAGUGGAAUUCCACGUGUAGCGGUGAAAUGCGUAGAUAUGUGGAGGAACACCAGUGGCGAAGGCGACUUUCUGGCCUGUAACUGACACUGAGGCUCGAAAGCGUGGGGAGCAAACAGGAUUAGAUACCCUGGUAGUCCACGCCGUAAACGAUGAGUGCUAAGUGUUGGGGGGUUUCCGCCCCUCAGUGCUGCAGCUAACGCAUUAAGCACUCCGCCUGGGGAGUACGGUCGCAAAGACUG